UAUAACAGAGUUAUUUCUUCCUUUAGGUGUCAGCUGUGAAGAACUCACUCCACUGAAGAAACAAGAGUCCAGUUUAGAAGACAGCACUGUUACUCUGUCCUACACAUACUACAAAGCUGCCAGUUACGAUGAUUAUUUCUUCUGGUAUCGACAAUAUCCAGGAAAACCACCAGAGUUCCUCAUCUCUCACUUGGGAACACAAAAUGAAACAACCUCUAGACUGUCAGUUACAGUGAGUGAGGAUAAAACCCAAAUGGAUCUGCAGAUCUCCUCUGCUGCAGUGACAGACUCUGCUCUGUACUACUGUGCUGUGAGGCCCACAGUGACAGCAAACCCACAGUCUCUGUACAAAAACACAAGCUGACACACUGACAAGCUGCUGGAAGCCUUUUUCCACACUGUUGGACUCAACUUUUUAGCUCCACUAGAGGGCGACAUUAUCAAGUAGGCGGUGCACUACUUCUGCACUGUGUUCAACCAUUCUGUCAAUAAUAACUGCUGCUGUGAAGAGAACAAUUGUCACACUGAAUGUUGAACAUCAGCUAGUUUCUCCUGUUGAUUUAAACCUUGUUGUAGAGAUGGAACAUUGGCUGUGGAUUAUUCUUGCUGCUCUUUUCUUUGGACUAAUAGCUGGAGACACAAUCUCUCCUGUAGGAGAUAAAGUCAGUGGAAGAGAAGGAGAAUCUGUCACACUCAAAUGUCGAUAUGAGACAACUGUCAGCAAUAUUUGGCUUUACUGGUACAGACAUUCUGACCUUCAGGCUCCUCAGUUUAUACUCUAUAAAGGAGCAAAAGAUAACACAGGUGUUGAAUAUAUUCCAGAUAAACGAUAUGAAUCUAAAACAACAGAUUCAUCAACUGAACUGACCAUCAGAAAACUAACCCUGGCAGACACAGCUCUCUACUACUGUGCUCUAGAAACACAGUGAUACAAAGUGUAGAAGAGGCUGUACAAAAACCUGAACACAGAUAUCUGACUACUCUUCAAAGAGGAGGGAAGUGGUAUUCAAACCACAGCUUCAUAUCAGAUGGAUUCUGCUAAUUCCUGUUUUAUCAGAGUCACUGUGGUUACAGCUGCUAAUGAAACACUGUGGGAGGAUUCACAUGAGCAGCAAAUCCACAUCAAUGACAAACCAACUGGAUGAUGCUUCAACACAAGACACCAUGGAAACAAAUAAAUCAACACUGAUAUUUAAAAUGAGUAAUAUGUGACAUCUGAACAACAACGUGUCUAACAUUGAAUCUUUUAGCUAAAUAAAUAGAUUUGUGACCUGUGAUUAUGUAUCUAAAGUGCAUUUAUCAUACAUUCUUUUAUUCUUAUAACAUUUCUAUUUGUUUCCCAACAUUUACCAGGUCAGACUGGGUCCAGUAUUUUAUAGCUCAAAUAUUCAGUCAUAUACUGAGCAUACUGAGCUGAUCUGUUACCAGCUGGACUGGGUACAGUCUGCAUUUUUCUGGGCAGAAGUCCACCUUUACAGUUUCUGGUCUUUAACAUUUUUAUUCAGUUUUGGUUGAACUGCAGUAAAUGAUGGACUGUUAACUGGAAAUCAUAUAAGACAGGGCUGUGAAUGAGGCCUGUCAGUGUGAUCAUUUCAAUUUCAAUUCAGUUUUAUAUUAAGUUAGUAAGUGUGUAAUUAUAUUUACUGUUAUAUUUAACUCCACUACUGAUAAAUCAUACAGUUUGAAUCAAGUAUCUCCAUAAACUGGUUGACAACCCAGACUAGGUUUUGAUUGCUCCUGUCUUUAUAUUUACUAAAGAAGUUUCUGUGAUUGUGGUGUACCACAGGGUUUGAUCCUGGGUCCUGUUCAUUUCUAUUUUGGUAAAUGCAUUUUAAACACAAUAUAGAUUUCCAUUGUUUUGCUGACAAUGAUGUAUUCCAUAAGUUUACAUGAUUAUUAUUCUAUUCAAAUUGUCUAUCAUUGAUUCCACCUUUUAUAGUUUCUCUACAAUGAGUUUGCACAUCACACUGCUGUGAAAUGAAAGAGACCUGAAUUUGUACCUGGAGGCCUCAAUGGUCGAGUUAGUAGCUUUAAGGAGCUUUCAACCAAGUGUAAUGGUUCAGGGUUCAUCCAAAGAGAAAGACUGGAGUGGUGUCUGAUAACACAUUAAAUAACUAUGGGGAACACUAUAUUGUGAAACAGCAAGAACCCUGAACAAGAGACUGAAUGAACAACAGAAACAGACAACAUCAGCUGUCUGAGAACUCCAGGCCAAAAUCAGUCCCAGCAUUGACUGGGAAGGAGUCAAAGUCAUCAACCACAAGUCAUCCACCACACUGUAAGAAA
ensembl:lncRNA